GCGUUCGGGUGAACUAUGGUUAAGGAACUCGGCAAAAUGCCCCCGUAACUUCGGGAGAAGGGGGGCCAUGUCUGGUGAUGAGUCUUGCACUCUGAGCUGGGUGUGGCCGCAGAGACCAGCGAGAAGCGACUGUUUACUAAAAACACAGGUCCGUGCGAAGCCGUAAGGCGAUGUAUACGGACUGACGCCUGCCCGGUGCUGGAACGUUAAGGGGACCGGUUAGUCACAUUUCGGUGUGGCGAAGCUGAGAACUUAAGCGCCAGUAAACGGCGGUGGUAACUAUAACCAUCCUAAGGUAGCGAAAUUCCUUGUCGGGUAAGUUCCGACCUGCACGAAUGGCGUAACGACUUCUCGACUGUCUCAACCAUAGGCCCGGUGAAAUUGCAUUACGAGUAAAGAUGCUCGUUUCGCGCAGCAGGACGGAAAGACCCCGGGACCUUUACUACAGUUUGAUAUUGGUGUUCGGUUCGGCUUGUGUAGGAUAGGUGGGAGACUGUGAAGCAUGCACGCCAGUGUGUGUGGAGUCGUCGUUGAAAUACCACUCUGGUCGUGCUGGAUGUCUAACCUGGGUCCGUGAUCCGGAUCAGGGACAGUGUCUGAUGGGUAGUUUAACUGGGGCGGUUGCCUCCUAAAGAGUAACGGAGGCGCCCAAAGGUUCCCUCAGCCUGGUUGGUAAUCAGGUGUUGAGUGUAAGUGCACAAGGGAGCUUGACUGUGAGACCGACGGGUCGAGCAGGGACGAAAGUCGGGACUAGUGAUCCGGCGGUGGCUUGUGGAAGCGCCGUCGCUCAACGGAUAAAAGGUACCCCGGGGAUAACAGGCUGAUCUUCCCCAAGAGUCCAUAUCGACGGGAUGGUUUGGCACCUCGAUGUCGGCUCGUCGCAUCCUGGGGCUGGAGUCGGUCCCAAGGGUUGGGCUGUUCGCCCAUUAAAGCGGUACGCGAGCUGGGUUUAGAACGUCGUGAGACAGUUCGGUCCCUAUCCGCUGUGCGCGUAGGAAUAUUGAGAAGGGCUGUCCCUAGUACGAGAGGACCGGGACGGACGAACCUCUGGUGUGCCAGUUGUUCUGCCAAGGGCAUGGCUGGUUGGCUACGUUCGGGAGGGAUAACCGCUGAAAGCAUCUAAGCGGGAAGCCUGCUUCGAGAUGAGUAUUCCCACCUCCUUGAGAGGGUAAGGCUCCCAGUAGACGACUGGGUUGAUAGGCCGGAUAUGGAAGCCCUGUAAGGGGUGGAGUUGACCGGUACUAAUAGGCCGAGGGCUUGUCCUCAGUUG
rnacentral:rRNA from 1 species